AGAUUGAUCUCUGUUGCCGCUCAGGGAGGUCAGCUCCAGGCCCUCAGCCUUUCGGCCGGGAGCCAAACUGCCCUGCCUGCCAAGCCCCUCCUUCUCUGCACCUUAAACAGCCGCGAGGGGAGAGUCGGCUGGGAUUUUCUUCUUAAGAAGUCGCGCAGGUUUUUCGAGCUCCACUCUGCGCCAGGAGAGCCACGGCAGCAGGAACGGGCACUGCUGCCACCGGGCCGACGGAGCUGCAUCCUGUGGCCCUAUAACACUCUUCUCCAAAAGGACCUGCCAGAAACUGGGAGUGUUGACUGCUGCAAGGACCAAGGUGGGAAUUGCUGUGCUACCAUCUGGAAACAGUGGGAUAGUAACAUCUUUUUGAGGGAAGAAUUGGCUUCCUUUCUUGAAAGUGGUGAAGGUACAGCAUAUAGCUGCAUGGAAGAAACAGUAAUCGGAUGGCUACCUUCUACAUUUUGUAUUAGGAAACAAAGUCCAUUGUAAGAGUCCAUGUUGAUCUUGGAAAUAGAAGGAUUGAAAAAAGCUAAAUUUCCACAAAGAACAAGAACUUGACCAUCUCCUUUUUGAUCUGAAGACUAG
rnacentral:sRNA from 1 species